rnacentral:rRNA from 1 species
UACAGAGCCGUCGAGCGUUUAAUCGGAAUCACUGGGCUUAAAGGGUGCGUAGGCGGCGCUGCAAGUGCCUUGUGAAAUCCCAUCGCUUAACGAUGGAACUGCUCGGUAGACUGCAGUGCUUGAGGUUGGUAGGGCUGCCGGAACUCUAGGUGGAGCGGUGAAAUGCGUAGAUAUCUAGAGGAACGGCCCCAAGGCGAAGGCAGG